GUUUAGCCAUAGGAGUCUGUCAUGUUGGAUAAGUAGUAAGAAUUCCCAAGAAUUGUUUUGGUUGCAUCUAUACAAAUUUAGCUAAGAAAUCAUAGGAAAAUCAGCAAUACAUUCAAGAUAGUGCUUAGCAUAAACCCAAACAUCCUCAUUGUGAUGUGGGAAUUUAGUAUAAAUUUUACCCAUUUAUUUCACUUGAAAGCCCAUCAGCCUCAUCAUUUGGUAGACCCAUAUUUCCCCUUGGGGUGGGAUGAGAUUCAGGGUGUAAUUCUCAGAGUAGUAUUUGGCUUGUUGUAACCCCAAUGUUAAAUUUUCCUCUGUAUUACUAUUCCUUAGACUAAAACUGCCCCCCAUGAAACUUUCAGUUUUCCUGACUUCUUUUCCAAAAGCUUGAGAAGACUUUCUCUGUAGUCGAGGAAGAAAGCCAAGCCUAAGUAUAAGGUAAACUGAAGGAAGAAAGAACAGGGAGCUUCCAAAGUAUCAUGAUUGUCCGUAGGCUGCAAAUCUCAUGAGAGGCAUGGGGUUUUGAUCACAGGGUCAUCAGGGUACGUAAUGUUGAAAAUCAUGAGCUCAACACUGAAGGAACAAGCCUUCGCCCCUUUCUGUGGGGUUGGAAAGAGGGGAGGAGGAGAAUCUUGCAUCCGGAGUACUAUAAAAGUCCGUGAUUGGACCUAGAAGAAGGGAGGACAUUUUUGACUCAACAAGCCUCUUGUGUGGGCUGAACCCCUUUUCCUUCCCUUCCCCCCUUUCCUGUUUUCUUCCACUGAAGCCACUUUUCUCAGCCAGCAUCUUAUCAAGUCUCUUGUCUGCUCAUUAGAAGGCUUUCUGGAGGUAUGAGCUCCCUCAGAAUUGUACUUGACAUAGCAGGAAGCCAGAAAGACUUUUGUGACUGUCCAUGCGCAUGUGGCUACUUGGCAUGGCGGCCUGGCGUGGGGCUGGUGGGAGUUGUAUGGGAUCGGUUGUGUCCAAAAGUCAGGAUUCAGGACCAGGACUGAGGCUAAAGAUUAUCCAAUCAGAGACUCCCAGGAGGAGUGCCAAAUUCUGGCUUUCUAGAAAAGAAAUGGAACCACGAUUACCUAAAAGUGACAACUGGAAAGUUGUGGAGGAGAGAAAAUGGAAAAGUCUGCAACAGAGCUGGAAAGGCAAGAACUCCAGAACUGUCAAUCAAGAUGAACAUUCCAUUUCGAAUAAGGGCUGGGGAAAGACAGUUAAGAAGGAGGAGGCAAACUGAAAAUCUGGCUCUCUUUGCCUUGAGCUAGAAAGGAGGAAGGACAAAAGUCCUGCUCUCUGGUUUCUCUCUGCUGCACAACCAAUUUUAACUUUGAAAAAACACCUGAUAAUCUUCUUUAUUUUCUUUUAAAAAAUACCCACAUCUUCAAUUCACAGAUCUGGAGACCUCUCUGGAUUUAUCCAGAGAUAGUCAGGGUGAAAGUCAUUGCCUUACUUUAGUGUCAUGAAGCUCGUGUUCUGUAGAAACAGAACCCCGAAUCUCUCCCUGUUUCUCUUUCAUCUCUAUCCCUAGCUACUUGCAGACCACCCACCAACAGCAUCACCAGAAGCACUCAGGUAGGACACUCUAUACUGAUGAAGUCAAAGAAGAAUUUUUCAGAGGCAACGGCUGCCUGCCUGCCUGCCGGGCCUCAUUCUAAGCAUCCUCUUGCUUCACUCAGAAAGGUCAUUGUCUGAGGUUAUAUCCCUACAUAUCCAUUAUGAGCAGAACUUUGUCCUGAGUAUGAUAAAGACAUUAUUGCCUAGUUUAAAAAACAAAAUGUACCCUCCUAAAAGGCUGUGGUGGGACAUGGGACCCCCAAGAAAACCUGGGGGCUCCUGAGCCCUAAAAGAUACUUAAUAAGCAGCCUCAGAGGCCAAGUGGCUGGAGAGAGCCCAGGGGUAACUGAGAGGCAGCUGUAUGCAAUGUAAACUCUUAGGUCUGCAAGGAGAAUCUGCCCAUACAUUUAUGAUACGUCCUGUACAAUUAUGAUCUGAGCCCCUCGAAUAAAUGUGAACCUUUGGCUCCUGCCCCA
rnacentral:lncRNA from 1 species